UACAGAGGGGGCAAGCGUUAUUCGGAAUUAUUGGGCGUAAAGGGCGCGUAGGCGGCCUGGCAAGUGGAUGGUGAAAUCCCUCGGCUUAACCGAGGAACUGCCGUCCAAACUGCUUGGCUUGAGUCCGGGAGAGGUGAGUGGAAUUCCCAGUGUAGCGGUGAAAUGCGUAGAUAUUGGGAGGAACACCAGUGGCGAAGGCGGCUCACUGGACCGGAACUGACGCUGAGACGCGAAAGCGUGGGGAGCAAACAGG
rnacentral:rRNA from 1 species